rnacentral:lncRNA from 1 species
CCUGCCGAAGCCCACAGAGAAGGCAAAUACAAGGGAGGUGCAAUGAAGGGCUGAGUGAGGAGAGAACAGAGGUUUUAUAAGGACUAUGGUCAAAGGAGAUUUGUUGAAAAGGAUGAGAGUUGAACUGGACUGUGAAGCAUUUGGUUCUACAGAAAAGAAGGAAGAUGUCAGAUGGACAAAGGUCAGAACCUCAAACACCACUUCCUGGAGGGGAAGCAGGGAGAAGAAUAAGAUGCAAAUAAAGGAAAUCCUCUUAUCUGAAUUCCAUCCAUUUAUCUUGAGUGAGUGUCACCACAUUCUUG